CAAUAGCGUAUAUUAAAGUUGUUGCAGUUAAAAAGCUCGUAGUUGGAUUUCUGGUGGGGCUGUCGGCCUGGCUCCGAAAGGGGUCGUGGUUUCGUUACACGCCUGGCCAUCCUCGGGGGAAGCUUUGCUGGCAUUAAGUUGUCGGCGGAGUGACGCUCGUCGUUUACUGUGAACAAAUUAGAGUGUUCAAAGCAGGCUUAGGCCGUUGAAUACAUUAGCAUGGAAUAAUGAGAUAGGACUUUGGUGGUCUAUUUUGUUGGUUUGCACGCCGAAGUAAUGAUUAAUAGGGGCGGUUGGGGGUAUUCGUAUUCAAUUGUCAGAGGUGAAAUUCUUGGAUUUAUGGAAGACGAACUACUGCGAAAGCAUUUACCAAGGAUGUUUUCAUUA
rnacentral:rRNA from 1 species